UACGAAGGGGGCUAGCGUUGCUCGGAAUCACUGGGCGUAAAGCGCACGUAGGCGGGUCGUUAAGUCAGGGGUGAAAUCCCGGAGCUCAACUCCGGAACUGCCUUUGAUACUGGCGAUCUUGAGUUCGAGAGAGGUGAGUGGAACUGCGAGUGUAGAGGUGAAAUUCGUAGAUAUUCGCAAGAACACCAGUGGCGAAGGCGGCCGACUGGGCCGACCCUGACGCUGAGGCGCGAAGGCGUGGGGAGCGAACGGG
rnacentral:rRNA from 1 species